CACACCUUCACCUGCCCCGCAAGAGCCGUCAGCGGCCCCGAUCCGGGCAGCAGUGGCUGCUGCGAUGGAAGUGCUUCCUGGCUGGCAGAGGGGACGGUGCGAGCGGGCGCUGGGUUUCCAGCGAGGGCUUGUGCCGCUCGGCAGCGGCAGCCCGCAGGCCUCCGCGGGGGUGCGUGCAUUCUGCAUUUAGACAAAAAUAAAGACGUGCAGAAGAGCAGCCUGGGACCACGAGGCCCGCGCAGCCCUUGGCAGGGCAGUGAGGACACACGCGCCUCCCUGCUGUGGUGCCCUGGAUUUGGGCAGYGCAUCGCUGUCCCGCAGCCAGCAGCAGCUCAGGAAAGCCCAGGGAGCGGCRGGAGGCGGCGGAGCACCCCCGGGAAGGGCAAACUGCCUCGGGCGCCCCACGCUGCCAGCUGCCGCCACGCGCUCCCUGGUGCUGCAACCUGCGCACCCUGCUGCAAACGYGGCCGGGCCUUCCCGGGGCAGGGCGCCUUCCUCCAGCCCCCUGCAAGCGCCGGCGGCCCCGAUGAGCCCGGCUUUGACCAUCUCUUGAACCAUCGCUGUCCCCCAAGCCCUCCCGUGCUUCUCAGCGCCGACGCAUCAUUCCCAGAGACGACUGGCACAUCCAGAGCAUCUGGCCUCUCCUCCAGCUGCGCUGCUGCCGUGAGCCCCCGAAACAUGAGCAGGUUCAGCCCCUGCCUGCGACGAGGCUCCAGCACCAGCACCGCCAGGCAGGCCCAGCCGCGCCGUGCACCGUCCAGCCCCGCUGCGGGGAGCCUGGCGCCUCGGACACCGGAGUUAGGAGGCAGCAGCGUGGCUGGCUCUCGGCUGUCCCGCGCCCCCCCUCACCGUGAUGCCCUCGCGGGGGUCGCCAGGCCUCGAAACAUCGCAGUGAGCCCCGAGCACAGUGCUGCGGGCUCCCUCGCCGCCAGCGUCCCCUUGCCGUUCCCCGUGGGCACUGGGUGGCACUGUGCCCCUGCCGUGCACAGCCAGCCUGCGCUGUCCUCCGCUUGGGUUUCUGGAAGGAAACCUGCAUCAGGGCUGGGGGGGGGAGACAUUUCCCACUGAAACACGUGCACCCRCUAGAGCCAGCUUUAUUUGGGCUGCAGCCAUGCUGGAAACACCUGGCGACAGCCCCACGCGACAGCACGGCUCUCCAGCAGUGCGCCCGCCGCACCGGGCGCAGGUCGCACCGCGCACGCCCGGGGUGGGGGGGGCGGCAGCGUCGGGCUCUCCCGCAGCAUGCACGCUGCGCCGCACACACGCUGUGCUGCAGGCGCCCCGGGGACGGCCRCGUUAGCAGCCUGCGUCCCCGCAGGGAGGCGACGGAGCAGCCCCUGCUCUCGCUGCCGCGGCGCCAGGCUCGCUUCCCCGCUGCGGCUGCAUUCGCACGGCCGYGGUAAGAGGAGAUCAACUGCAUCUUUACAGCCGCCCCCUCCCUAAAGCUAACAGGCCGGGCAAUUGCUGAGGCACCGCGAAGUGCUUCCUAGUCUGGGCGCAAGGAGUCCGYGUGGCCGCUUACGACCCCAGAUCGCCGGAGCGAGCAGAGCUACCUUCUCCCUGUGCCGCUUUCAGGAGAGUCCGGCAUCCUGCAGCAGGCCGGGGGGAGGACGGUUCAGCCCCGAUCCCCAGAGCCCCACGUCCUCGUCGAUGGCUCGCUGUGCUGUCCGCUGCAUUUGUACUUGGAGCUCGUGGCCACCGCGUCGUCCACUCCUGCCCAGCUGCCUGAGCAGCAGCAGCACCCCGAGCACCGCCAGGAGCCCCGUGCCGGAGCCCGCAAGCGCCGCUGCACCCAGCGCCAGCACACACCGAACAAACUGCAGCAGGAUUUUAUUGCUGCGGUUUAAAAACAUGGGAACAAGCGAGCACCGGAGUGCUACCGAUCAUUAAGAGCAGAUGGGAGCCUGUUUACUGCCUCCAGCAGCGAGGUGCUACCACUGCUUGGCCAAGGCCCCAUCUGCAAUAGGAAACCCCGCGGCGGCCAGGAGGCACUGGCUGGCGGCAGCGACGCAUAGCCCCAGCAUUCGGGCCUGCGCUCAGCCCGACUGUCCUCUCUCCACCACCCCGA
ensembl:lncRNA